GAAUCAAGAAUGGUAUCCUUAGGGGUGUGUACCCUGGCAGCCCUACCAGCUGGCUGGUUGUUGUCAUGGCAACAGUUGGUUCCAACUACUGCAAAGUGGACAUCUCCAUGGGGCUGGUCCAUUGCAUCCAGAGAUGCCUCCCGACAAGGUAUGGCUCCUACGGGACCCCACAGACCGAGACACUUCUCAGUAUGGUCAUCUUCUCCACCGGAGUCUGGGCGACAGGCAUUUUUUUAUUCCGACAAACCCUGAAGCUGCUGCUUUCCUAUCAUGGGUGGAUGUUCGAGAUGCACAGCAAGACCAGCCAUGCCACCAAGAUCUGGGCUGUGAGCAGAAGCACUGGAGGGUGCAGGCAUCUGGUUUGAGAUCAUGGGGAAUCUCAUUUGGGGUUCCGAGCAAGAAGGGAGAGGAGG
rnacentral:lncRNA from 1 species